CUACGGGUGGCACCAGUAAGGAAUAUUGCGCAAUGGAGGCAACUCUGACGCAGCCAUGCCGCGUGCAGGACUGAAGGCCUUAUGGGUCGUAAACUGCUUUUAUUUAGGAAUAAACUUUCGUACGUGUACGAGACUGAAGGUACUAAAUGAAUAAGCACCGGCUAACUCCGUGCCAGCAGCCGCGGUAAUACGGAGGGUGCAAGCGUUAUCCGGAUUUAUUGGGUUUAAAGGGUGCGCAGGCGGACUAUUAAGUCAGAGGUGAAAUCCCGGAGCUCAACUUCGGAACUGCCUUUGAUACUGGUAGUCUUGAAUACGGUUGAAGUAGGCGGAAUGUAGCAUGUAGCGGUGAAAUGCAUAGAGAUGCUACAGAACACCGAUCGCGAAGGCAGCUUACUAAGCCGAUAUUGACGCUCAGGCACGAGAGCGUGGGGAGCGAACAGGAUUAGAUACCCGGGUAGUC
rnacentral:rRNA from 1 species